ensembl:lncRNA
GACUGCUGCACACUCACCUCAUCCUGUCGUGUUGUGGAGGCAGACAGCAGCCACAGCCUGGGAGCAGCAGCCACAAAGGGACAGCAAGCAAUGCCCUGCAGCAGAUGGAGCAGCACCGCUGGGACACACGGAGACUGCAUCCCAUCCACGGCCACCCGAGAGGAGCACAGAGCCCAGCAGCACAGAGCAUGGAGAGGCAAGCCUGGGGACAAAGACCCAAGACGGAUCCCACAGGCCAUUGAUGAAAAUGCUGAAUAGCACUGGGCUUCACAUCAAACCCUGCGGACACCCACUGAGCGUGCUCCCAUUCUGCAAGGAUUCCCCAUUGAUGCCUGUCGGUUUGCCAGCUCCCCGUCCC